UUAUUAGUAAGCACGUGUAAUCUUUGGCAAAAGGAAACCUGAAAAUGCAUUUCCCGUGGGACCCCGCGCCCGUCGAUGCCUUUCAGCCUGCAGCUGACCUCGGGAGACCUGGAAAAGCAGGAUUCCAGGGACACAUUUACGACCGUCAUAAUUGUGAGUUAGAGAUCUCCCAGGCCAAGUGAAAUGAAAUUACGAGAAACUGAAAUCUGUUUUAAUUGGAGCAUUUAUGGAAAAAAGAAGUCAGACUGGCUGCUUUUUCCUUUAUGUGACUCUUCGGUUCAUGGCUCUACCUGCGUCCGGAAACCAGGGCUGGCGAAACUUGGGCCGUGACAGAGCAGGGAGGAAAGGAGAGAGAGGAGAAUGAGGGAGAGACAGCCCUGCCCCUCCACGGCCACCCGGCAGGCUGUGCCUACCCGGCACUUCCUCCUCUUUUCCAGGAAACACUUCUUACUUACCAUUCCCCUGCGCUCCGGCGUUGACUCUCGGAGACGCCGUGGAGAAGGCGAGCUUGACUUCUGUGCUCAGAAGAUGCUCUCUUGAGCGUCAGACAGAUGUUUGACGGCUGGCCGAGGGCGCUCACUUCUGGCUACCGGGUCCCCCCCCACCACCACACACAC